rnacentral:rRNA from 1 species
AUGGGGCAGGCGUUCCGCAAACUGUUCGAUGCCUUCUUCGGCAACAGCGAGAUGAGGGUCGUGAUGCUUGGGCUGGAUGCAGCGGGCAAGACCACCAUCCUGUACAAGCUGCACAUCGGGGAGGUCCUCUCGACUGUCCCUACGAUUGGGUUCAAUGUUGAGAAAGUUCAGUACAAGAACGUGCUGUUUACAGUGUGGGAUGUUGGUGGCCAGGAGAAGUUGAGGCCCUUGUGGAGACAUUACUUUAAUAACACAGAUGGCUUGAUCUACGUGGUUGAUUCAUUGGAUAGGGAGAGAAUUGGAAAAGCCAAAGCAGAGUUUCAGACAAUAAUCAACGAUCCUUUCAUGCUUAACAGUGUCAUAUUGGUAUUUGCCAAUAAACAAGAUAUGAAAGGGGCGAUGACACCAAUGGAGGUGUGCGAAAGCCUUGGCCUCUAUGAUUUGAAGAACCGCGUCUGGCACAUCCAAGGUUCCUGUGCCCUCAAAGGUGAUGGUCUUUAUGAGGGCUUGGACUGGCUGUCAAGUACUCUGAAGGAUCUGCAAGCGUCCGGUCGCCUACCCUCAGGAGGGACCUAA